AUGUUACUCCCUCCGUCCAGAAAUACUUGUCGCACAAAAAUGUGAAAUUGGAUGUAUUAAAACUAAAAUAUGUCUAGAUAUAUCCAUUUUCCCGACAAGUAUUUUCGGACGGAGGGAGUACUAA
rfam:Triticum aestivum genome assembly, contig: Triticum_aestivum_CS42_TGACv1_scaffold_641987_T_4BL-0.137650_4BS-0.075166